rnacentral:rRNA from 1 species
UUUUGGUUCGGAAUAACUCAGGGAAACUUGAGCUAAUACCGGAUAAGCCCUAACGGGGAAAGAUUUAUCGCCGAAAGAUUGGCCCGCGUCCGAUUAGCUAGUUGGUGAGGUAAUGGCUCACAAAGGCGACGAUCGGUAGCUGGUCUGAGAGGAUGAUCAGCCACACUGGGACUGAGACACGGCCCAGACUCCUACGGGAGGCAGCAGUGGGGAAUAUUGGACAAUGGGGCGCAGCCUGAUCCAGCCAUGCCGCGUGAGUGAU